GACGAACGCUGGCGGCGUGCUUAACACAUGCAAGUCGAGCGGUAAGGCCCUUUCGGGGGUACGACGAGCGGCGAACGGGUGAGUAACACGUGGGUGACCUGCCCUCAGCUCUGGGAUAAGCCUGGGAAACUGGGUCUAAUACCGGAUAUGACUCCAUGACGCAUGUUGUGGGGUGGAAAGCCUUGUGCGGCUGAGGAUGGGCCCGCGGCCUAUCAGCUUGUUGGUGGGGGNGAUGGCCUACCAAGGCGACGACGGGUAGCCGGCCUGAGAGGGCGACCGGCCACACUGGGACUGAGACACGGCCCAGACUCCUACGGGAGGGCAGCAGUGGGGAAUCUUGCGCAAUGGGCGAAAGCCUGACGCAGCGACGCCGCGUGAGGGAUGACGGCCUGGUGUAAC
rnacentral:rRNA from 1 species